rnacentral:rRNA from 1 species
UACGAAGGGGGCUAGCGUUGCUCGGAAUCACUGGGCGUAAAGGGUGCGUAGGCGGGUCUUAAGUCAGGGGUGAAAUCCUGGAGCUCAACUCCAGAACUGCCUUUGAUACUGGGGAUCUCGAGUCCGGAAGAGGUGAGUGGAACUCCGAGUGUAGAGGUGAAAUGCGCAGAUAUCAGGAAGAACACCCGUGGCGAAGGCGGCUCUCUGGGACGGUACUGACGCUGAGACGCGAAAGCGUGGGGAGCGAACAGG